rnacentral:rRNA from 1 species
UACGUAGGGUGCAAGCGUUGUCCGGAAUUAUUGGGCGUAAAGAGCUCAUAGGCGGUUUGUCGCGUCUGCUGUGAAAACCCGAGGCUCAACCUCGGGCCUGCAGUGGGUACGGGCAGACGUAGAGUGCGGUAGGGGAGAUUGGAAUUCCUGGUGUAGCGGUGGAAUGCGCAGAUAGUCAGGAGGAACACCAGUGGCGAAGGCGAUGCUCUGGGCCGGUACUGACGCUAAGGAGCGAAAGCAUGGGGGAGCGAACAGG